UACGUAGGGUGCGAGCGUUGUCCGGAAUUACUGGGCGUAAAGAGCUCGUAGGUGGUUUGUCGCGUUGUUCGUGAAAACUCACAGCUUAACUGUGGGCGUGCGGGCGAUACGGGCAGACUGGAGUACUGCAGGGGAGACUGGAAUUCCUGGUGUAGCGGUGGAAUGCGCAGAUAUCAGGAGGAACACCGGUGGCGAAGGCGGUUACCUGGAGCUUUGCUGACGCUGAUGCGCGAAAGCGUGGGGAGCGAUCCGG
rnacentral:rRNA from 1 species